rnacentral:rRNA from 1 species
AUUGAACGCUGGCGGCAGGCUUAACACAUGCAAGUCGAGCGGAGAUGAGGUGCUUGCACCUUAUCUUAGCGGCGGACGGGUGAGUAAUGCUUAGGAAUCUGCCUAUUAGUGGGGGACAACAUUCCGAAAGGAAUGCUAAUACCGCAUACGCCCUACGGGGGAAAGCAGGGGAUCUUCGGACCUUGCGCUAAUAGAUGAGCCUAAGUCGGAUUAGCUAGUUGGUGGGGUAAAGGCCUACCAAGGCGACGAUCUGUAGCGGGUCUGAGAGGAUGAGCCGCCACACUGGGACUGGGACACGGCCCAGGCUCCUGCGGGAGGCAGCAGUGGGGAAUAUUGGACAAUGGGCGGAAGCCUGAUCCAGCCAUGCCGCGUGUGUGAAGAAGGCCUUUUGGUUGUAAAGCACUUUAAGCGAGGAGGAGGCUACCUGGAUUAAUACUCUAGGAUAGUGGACGUUACUCGCAGAAUAAGCACCGGCUAACUCUGUGCCAGCCGCCGCCGUAAGAC